rnacentral:rRNA from 1 species
UACGUAGGGUGCAAGCGUUAAUCGGAAUUACUGGGCGUAAAGCGUGCGCAGGCGGUUCGGAAAGAGAGGUGUGAAAUCCCAGGGCUCAACCUUGGAACUGCACUUUUAACUACCGAGCUAGAGUAUGUCAGAGGGGGGUGGAAUUCCGCGUGUAGCAGUGAAAUGCGUAGAUAUGCGGAGGAACACCGAUGGCGAAGGCAGCCCCCUGGGAUAAUACUGACGCUCAUGCACGAAAGCGUGGGGAGCAAACAGG